GAUGAACGCUGGCGGCGUGCCUCAUACAUGCAAGUCGAGCGAACAGACGAGGAGCUUGCUCCUCUGACGUUAGCGGCGGACGGGUGAGUAACACGUUGAUAACCUACCUAUAAGACUGGGAUAACUUCGGGAAACCGGAGCUAAUACCGGAUAAUAUAUUGAACCGCAUGGUUCAAUAGUGAAAGACGGUUUUGCUGUCACUUAUAGAUGGAUCCGCGCCGCAUUAGCUAGUUGGUAAGGUAACGGCUUACCAAGGCAACGAUGCGUAGCCGACCUGAGAGGGUGAUCGGCCACACUGGAACUGAGACACGGUCCAGACUCCUACGGGAGGCAGCAGUAGGGAAUCUUCCGCAAUGGGCGAAAGCUUGACGGAGCAACGCCGCGUGAGUGAUGAAGGUCUUCGGAUCGUAAAACUCUGUUAUUAGGGAAGAACAAAUGUGUAAGUAACUAUGCACGUCUUGACGGUACCUAAUCAGAAAGCCACGGCUAACUACGUG
rnacentral:rRNA from 1 species